rnacentral:rRNA from 1 species
UACGGGGGAUGCAAGCGUUAUCCGGAAUUAUUGGGCGUAAAGCGCCUGUAGGUUGUUUAGUAAGUUUGUUGUUAAAGAUUAGGGCUUAACCCUAAAGAAGCAAUGGAAACUACUAGACUUGAGUAUAGCAGGGGUAGAGGGAAUUUCUAGUGUAGUGGUGAAAUGCGUAGAUAUUAGAAAGAACACCGGUGGCGAAAGCGCUCCACUGGACUAUUACUGACACUCAGAGGCGAAAGCUAGGGGAGCAAAAGGGAUUAGAUACCCCUGUAGUCCUAGCCGUAAACGAUGGAUACUAGAUGCUGUGCAAACUGUACAGUACCGUAGCUAACGCGUUAAGUAUCCCGCCUGGGGAGUACGCUCGCAAGAGUG